rnacentral:tRNA from 1 species
UGGGUUGUGGCUCAGUGGUAGAGUACUUGCCUUGCAUGCAUGAGGCCCUGGAUUAAUUGCCAGCAUGCCAA